rnacentral:rRNA from 1 species
CUUUACUACAGCUUUGCAGUGGCAUUAGGGAGUGGAUGUGUAGCAUAGGCGGGAGCCUUUGAAGUUCGGGCGUCAGCUCGGAUGGAGGCAACAGUGAAAUACCGCUCUUUUGUUCUCUGAUGUCUAACCUGGUCCUGUGAACCCAGGACGGGGACCCUGCAUGGUGGGUAGUUUGACUGGGGCGGUCGCCUCCCAAAGUGUAACGGAGGCGCGCGAUGGUAGGCUCAGGCUGGUCGGAAAUCAGCCCAAGCGUGCAAUGGCAUAAGCCUGCCUGACUGCGAGACCGACAGGUCGAGCAGAAACGAAAGUUGGCCAUAGUGAUCCGGUGGUCCCGUGUGGAAGGGCCAUCGCUCAACGGAUAAAAGGUA